rnacentral:sRNA from 1 species
AGCAGUCCGCGGGCAACAUCAAGGCCGCGUGAGGAAUUGCCUCCGGUCCUUGACCACGGAUGUACUGGCACCGAUCGUCGAGGCAGUUUUGGGAAGGCCGGGGUAACCCGGCCUUUUUUCAU